AUACGUAGGGGGCGAGCGUUGUCCGGAAUGAUUGGGCGUAAAGGGCGCGUAGGCGGCCCGGUAAGUCUGGAGUGAAAGUCCUGUUUUUAAGAUGGGAAUUGCUUUGGAUACUGUCGGGCUUGAGUGCAGGAGAGGUAAGUGGAAUUCCCAGUGUAGCGGUGAAAUGCGUAGAGAUUGGGAGGAACACCAGUGGCGAAGGCGACUUACUGGACUGUAACUGACGCUGAGGCGCGAAAGUGUGGGGAGCAAACAGGAUUAGAUACCCUGGUAGUCCACACUGUGAACGAUGAAUGCUAGGUGUAGGGGGUAUCGACCCCUUCUGUGCCGCAGUCAACACAAUAAGCAUUCCGCCUGGGGAGUACGGCCGCAAGGUUGAAACUCAAAGGAAUUGACGGG
rnacentral:rRNA from 1 species